UAGCCCCACCCUAACCUGAUCUUAGUCAUGGAACAAGAAAAUCCGGGACAAAGGCCACUGUGAAGUUCAGAUGAGCAGGUUAGGCAUACAGGAACAACACGUGCACCUUAACUCUAAAUCUACAUUUUCUAAUAGAAAGAUUAAAAGAAUAUAAAAUGCCAUUAUUAUCUUUAUAAGAAAGGUCAAAGUGGUAUCAGUUCAUAGACGAAAUGGUAUCAGCUCAAGCAAUGGUAUCACCAAUGCUUGGUAAAGCCUCCAGCAAGCUAUGAGGAAUCUAGACUCCAUUCAAAAUAUGAUAUCAAAUGUUGCCCUUUGCAAAUUUGGAUUGCUUAAGAAAAAAAAAUUCUAUCCCCUUCCCUCACACAAAUUUUAUCCACAUGGUAACUUGAAAAUUCUCCACUAGCUCCUUUUUCUCAACAUGAUAGGACAAUUAGUCUUUCUAAUCUGGGUUUCUCCCAAACCCCUGAACUCACACCAAUUCUCUCAUAAAAUUACCCCAAUUCAGUAUUAUUGAAUACAGCAGAGACACACUCACUGUUUUAAUUAAAGAGGCAAAGGCAUCUCUGAAUAGGAAGUAGUCUUUGAGUGCUUUGCCUUGUCUUUUUCAGGGAGUUGGUGACAGACACUGUGAUGUCGCUAAACCACCUAUAAGGAAAAAUAGUAUCAGAUGUUUGGCUUCAAUCAGGAAAAAAAGAAAAGAGAAGAGAAGAGAAGAGAAGAGAAGAGAAGAGAAAAGAAAAGAAAAGAAAAGAAAAGAAAAGAAAAGAAAAGAAAAGAAAAGAAAAGAGAAAAGAAAAGAAGAGCAAAGCCGUAAGGCUUAUUAUGAAUGGUUUCCCUGACUCCAAAAAUUUCCAUUCAAAUUAAUGCUAGGUUAGUCUUCAAAAAUUUUAAUCACAUUAUGUUUUUGCUCAAGAACUAUCUAUAGUCCCCUACUGCUUACCAAUAUCAAAUUCAAAUUCAUAUUCUCUUACUAUAGAUCCCUCACCACUUAGCCAUGCUUUCUUCUCCCACUCUUUUUCAGAGUUAACUCUCCAGUCUUGUAACUCUUGUCCAUUCUCUGAUCCUGUGUGCUUUUACACUUGCCAAUCCCUAACCUAAAUGCCUUUCUUCCAAUUCAGAUUUUAGCUUUUUUUAAAAAAAAAAAAAAAAAACUAAACCAAGUUUAAUCUCAUCUAGAAGCAUUUUCCUGAUGGUGGCCCUUACAGAUCUUUCUGUCCUUGAAAUUAUACCUCUUAGAAAAAGAAUGUUAUCAUUUAGCAUUUAUUUUUUUCUUUUACUGUUUACCAUGUAUUGGUAAUGGUUGUCUAACUAGAUUGUAUAAGCAAAAGUGAUAUGACAUAGGACUUUACUUUUAGACAUUAUUAAAUUGAAAUUCCCAUGAACGUUUAAA